rnacentral:rRNA from 1 species
GAUGAACGCUGGCGGCAUGCCUAAUACAUGCAAGUCGAGCGAACGGACCAGGACCUUGCUUCUCUGGGUUUGUCGGCGGACGGGUGAGUAACACGUGUAUAACCUACCUAUAAGACUGGGAUAACUUCGCGAAACCGUAGCUAAUACCGGAUGAUAUUUUGAACCGCAUUGUUCAAGAGUUAAAUACGGUCUUGCUUUCACUUAUAGAUUGAUCCGCCCUGCAUUAGCUAGUUGGUAAGGUAACUGCUUACCAAGGCAACGAUGCAUACCCGCCCUGAAAGGGUGAUUGGACAGCCUGGAACUGAGACACGGCACCGACUCCUGCGGGAGGACGCAGUCGGGACUCUUACGCAAUGGGGGAAAGCGUGAUGGUGCACCGCCGCGGGAGUGCUGAAGGUGCUCGGCUCGUAAAACUAUGUUAUUAGGGAAGAACAUAUGUGUAAGUACCCGUGAACAUAUUGACGGUACCUAAUCAGAAAGCCACGGCUAACUCCGUG